rnacentral:lncRNA from 1 species
UAAUUUCUAAAACUUUACCGACGAAUUAAAAUUUCGUCGAAAUAAACACGAUUAUGCCCAUAAAAUGGUGCGCCAGGAUAAAAAGUGUCAAAAUUAUCAAAAAAGCAUUGUAGUAGUGGUCAAUUAAUUUCGUGUUGAUUGAAGUAUUUUUUGUAUUUUCAUUCUUGGAUUUUUUUUCUUUUUCAAAAUUAUUGUGUAAAUAUUUUGUCAGUUUAUUAUAUUUUUUUUAAAAAAAAACCGUUGAUUAAAUGAUACAUUGAUUGAUAAUUUUAAUUAAAUACCUUAUAAUAACUGAAAAGUUAAAAUAUUAUUUACAUUCCUACUUUCACGCUUUUUGUAUUUAGGUAUUUAAACUUUCAAAUGGCCAAAUACAGGUCGUGUUCUUUUAACAAAACUUAAAAAUGAUCCAUUUCUUUAAAUUAAACUUAAAAUUGGGUGAGUGCCAAAAAGGAAAAUAUCAUGAUCAUAUCAUACUAUCUUCAAAUGUUGAUUACACAAAUAACCAUAUUUUUUAGAAUACUCUACCAUCUACCAAUCUUAAAUUUACACUAUUAUCUUUUAAGAUAAACUUUAAUUAAAUUUUUUUAAAAAUAAAUAAAUAAAUUUUCAAAAAAUGAAUCGUUCAGUUUGGAUUCGAGAAUGUUGAAGAAAAUUAUUUAUUUUGUUUGAAAAGAGAAAAUUUUGAGACAAUGGUAUUUUUACUAGUAUAGGCUUUUGUCUAUGAAUGUGUUAAUGAAAAAUUAGAAGAUAACGAGAUCAAUUAUGGAAUUUACUUCGAAGUCCUAUGAAAUCCUGGAAAAUUUGACCAUUUUGGUCAAUAAAGUUAAAAACAGAAUUUGAAAUCAUUUUGAAUUUUAAAAUCAAUCUCUUUCAUGUAAGUGAUGUUUUAUUAAGGAGUCAGGGGACACGUACCCCUCACAUUAUCAGAUUUUGUAUUUUAAUAUUAAUUUUGAAGUAUUAGAUUAUAAUAUAUAUUAAAUUUAGCUUCAUAUUGCCUAUAUUUUGCUUCAGUGGUUGUGCCCCUGAGUUUAAAUCUCAUCUUCUACAAUUAUUUUUACGAAAUAGUCUUUGUUCCAAAUAUCAAUAAUUUUUUUCCUCAAAUAUCAAUAAUUUUUUUCCUCAAAUAUCAAUUUUCUUUCUAAUUUUAAUGAUUUUCUAAAAAAAAAUAAUAUCAAAUUUCUUCCCAAAUUUCAAUGAUUUCUUAAAAUGAAGAUAAUUUGAUUUCCUAAAAGUAAAAUAAUUUUUUAAAACUAGAAAAAAAACUCAUCUAAGAUAUAACCCUAACUUAUUUUCUAGCUCUGUUUGUUAUCUAACAAAACUUUUUUAAAAAGUGCAACAAAAUCGAUAAUCCAAACUUCCACUCCCUCAACAAUAUUCAAUGAAAAAGGUAUUAUUCUUUUUUUUUUUUUUUUUGUAUACAAAUAUAGUGAAUGUUAUUGGAGCAUGAGUGAAAUGUUGAGAUAUUUUUUUUAACAUUUUUAGUGUAUUUAUUAUAUAGUGUCUGAUGUCUCCCCUAUGUAAAAUUUCUGGAUCCACCACCGCUUUCAUGCUAUAACUAACAACGAAAUUCAUUUAAAAUUCAUUAUGGAUUGAAAUCCCUAAAAAUGGACAGGUUCCAAACAAAACAUAAAAGGAAAAAAAGACCACACAUACAUAGAUUUUUUAAUUAUGAGUUGUUUGUUUUUAGAAUUGAUUUUUUUAUUUAUGAUUAUUUAAUUAAUAUAAAAAAUAAAAUUAUCAUUAACUAUUUAUAAUAUUUUUAAAUUCUCAAACACAACUUAUUUUGGGUCAUUUGGAUGGGAGGAAAUUGGAAUGGGAAUGAGUAUGAGAUAAACAUGUCCUUGCUUGGUUCAGGGUUGUGUAGUUUAGGCAUGGUACAUGCUUCGUUUAUGUUCAUGUAACGUCCUAGGCCUAAGAUUGGGACCAAGAUUUGGAAUUCGAAUCUCCGACAUUCCCUUACAUCCCCUGGGACCUGACAGUAUCAUCCUUACUAUUCUUAAAGGCUUAUUAAAGUGAAAGUUCUCUUCAUGAACCAAUAAAAACACAAUAUUAAAACUUUGAAAAAAAAAAAAAAACUAUAAUUUUGAAUCACUCUUAAAUAGAUCAUAAAAAGAGGUUCGAAAAACGCAAUUAUCUAUCGAAUCCAUAAACAAGUUAGUUAUAGCUAUACUAAUUUUGAAUCAUAUCGUGUGGGGCAACCUUAUUUUUUCGUGCCAUGAAUGAAUCGGCUUAUUUCUAUAAAAGUUAAUGGUGUUGUCUAAUGUGCUCUCCAAAAAUAAUGCUAAUGAUGAGAGGAAAUUAUAUAAAUUGUUUGGUUCUUCCAUUCUAUCAUAUAAAACAGUCACAUCUCCUAUCUUUGAGCUGUGAACAACUCCAUUGGAUUACAUAUCACAUUCUUACUUUAGGGUUUGACCCCUACGAUACAAUGUAUAUAUAAUAUUAAUAAUGCAACAAGUUAGAGGGAGUUGUGAUACGAAUCAAGAAAUUAGAAUUGAAUCAAAUGAAAUUGAAGAGUUCAAGUUAUUUGGACAUCCAACAAUCAUCCUUUAGAUUCAUUCACAUUUCUAAGGAAUUAUGUAUUUAUUUAAUUUAAUGUGUUAUGUAUUUUCAUUUAUCAUAGUAGUUGAAAGAGCAUAAAAUUAAAUGGUGUGUCUUUUCAUUUAAUAUUUUAAUUAGUAUAAAUAAGGUUGUAGUUUUCACAUCUCUAAUAGCUAUUUAGCGUCGUUCCGAAGACAUGCUUAGAUUAGCACCUCUAUAUAUGUCCCUAGCGAUAAAAUACACUACUAUAUUCCCUAAUGUGAAAGUAUAUUGUUAUUUAAUUUUGUUGUUUGUAUGAAACUUGUUUAUCUAACAUGUAAAUAAUAUGAGAAAAUAAGCAAUCAAUUGAAGAGAUAAUAAAAAGUUAAGUAAAUAAAAAUAAUUAACUACCAUAGAAUCACACAAUUUUAUGUUACAAAAAAAACUUCACCCUAGCUAUUAUAUACUCUUGAGUUUGUAAUCUAACUCACACACUAAAUUGAGGUUUCCUAACUUACAAUUAAACAACUCUUCAUCUCAAACAUCAAACUUUCUAAUGAUGAAUGAUGAUUAAGCAACGUGAGUUAUCCACUCAAAAUUUCCUUAUAAGGAGCCGAACAUGAACAAGAAUUAUUAUACUAAGAAUAAUAAGGAUGAAACAUAGGCGACUUGGCUAUUAAAUCAAACAAGAGGAUGGGCCAAAUUUAUUUUUAACCUAAGCACACAUUGAUUAGAGAAAUACUAAUGCAUUAGAAAAUAGAAUACCAUUUGAUACCUUCUUUUUUCUUUUUCUUUUUUUUCUUUUUUUUGCAAAGUUCUAUUUUGUCACAUUGAAAUACUUUGAUGUCAAUGAUUUAUGCCAUUUGAUUAUUUAACAUAUGCUAUGAUUUAAGAGCAAUAACCAAUUUGAUACUUUUGCUACAUGAAAUACCAAGUUCUCAUAUAAUUUAGUUCUUUUAAGUUUUAAAACCUUAAUGGUUAUACUUUUCACAUCUAAAUUUUGUUUCAAUUUAGAAGAUUUUAGGUUUCAACAUUUGUACUUUCUAACCCUAAUUUUUCAUAAAAACUCUUUUUUUUUUUUUUUUUUUUUUUGUAUGAAUGAUUAUAAAACAAUUAAAAUACUAUAAUGAAUAAUUCAUUUUCACUACUAUUAAAUUAAAUUUAAAAGUUUACUUCCUAAUCGUUUUAAAUUAAUAAAUACUUUUGUGGUUGUCAUUUUAAUUAAAGAAAAGCUACAAAACAUUGGGAGUGCAACAAAAAAAAUAAAAAAAUCUAAAACUAAGAAACCAAAUAAAUCCAUAAUUAUCAUUUGGUUGCAUUUUUAUUUUUAUUUGAAUAACAAUAAAAAAAUUGUUAGAUUAAGAUAGAUUUUUUUAUUAAAAGAAUUAAUAAAAAAUAUAGAACUGACUGUAACCUCUACAAAGCUCAAAUUCCAAAGUUAAAAUUACAGUUCCAGAGUUAAAAUUAGAGCAUCUUGAAACUACGUCAUUAAUUGGUGUAAGUAAUUUGAACGCAAACAAAGUUUUAACUAAAUCUAACUUUUUCAUUUAUUAUUUAAUAUGCAUUUAUCUUCGAGCUUUUUUUUAUAUAUAUAAUUUUAGAUUGACUUUAAAAUAGAUGUUUUCAAAUGUACUCUAAAAUGGAAACUUACCAAAAUCAAUAGCACCAAAAGUGCAUUAUCAAUUGUUUGGUUACUGAAUCCAUUUUCACUUUGUACAAAAAAAAAAUGUGGCCUUUUGGGUAAUAUAGUGAAUACGUCUCUUCUUCUUCUUCUUUUUUUGUGGCAUUUCCAAAAAUAAAAUAAUUAUUUGAAUGAUACUUAUUGACAUCUCUUAAAGAGAAGUUGAAGUAGGAAGCUUAGUUUCUUUUAAAAAAAGUAUGUGGCAUUGUUAAAUAAAAAAGUUUUUAAAAUGAAAAUAAGUACAUAAAAACAAACCAUUUAUAUUAGAAAGUAUGCUUGAGUUAUUGAACCCAUACUUCUCAAUCUAAUUACUCUCUUAUUUUGUAUAUAUUUGGUAGAAUAUUUGAGUGUAUUAAGUGUUCAUGUGUGUUUCAAAUAUAGAUGUAUUUGUGAGCAAUUUAUUUCGCCAACCCCAAGGAAAAAGGACAUUGACGACGUUUCAAAAAAGGAAGUGAAGAGAAUAGUUGACAGGUGGGUUUGUUUUCGAUAUAUUUUUCUCAAAAGAAAAAUAUGUAAAUUUUCAUUUUCAUUUCCAUUGCCUUGGAUUUUACAACACACAACACAUACCGAGAGAUUACUCAACAAACCCACCUCAGGUUCUUCUCUCUCUUUUUCAUUCAACCUUAAUCUUUUGUUGUAGGAAAGAAGAAAAACUUUGAUGAUUUGCAGUAUUUUACAACUUAAAAGUUAAACCAAACCUGGAAAGAGUUUUUUUUGCGGGGUUUUGCAACCAAGACAAAGAAUCUUCUUGAAGAAGAAGAAACAGAACUUUGCUUUCUCUCAACACUCUCUUCUUAUUUUCAGAUAUGUAUUCUUUUAUGAUGAAACUGGAUGAGUUUGACAAUGAUAAAGUACCUAAAGAUGAAAUGCAAGAUGUUGCGCUCUCUCAUGAAGAUCAAAUUAAUCUUCAUUCCAAGGUACUUUAACAUGUUCGUUAGAUUAUGAGUUUAAUGAGAGGAGUUAAUAAAGUUGUUUGUGUUCAUUUUGUUCUAUGUAGAAACUUCAAGAUGAUUUGCAAACAAUGGGGAUGAAAAUACAGGUGCAUGAAGACAACAUAAGGUUUCUGAAGACUUUGAAAGACAAAUUAGUUGAUUCCAUCAUUGAUCUACAGGGUAUUUUGUUUUUUUCUCCUUCUUGAACAAGUAGAUCUUCAAGACAUUUUUAUGUCAUUUCCAUUACUUAGAUAAGUUUCUAUUGCAGUUAUAUUAGAUAAGCAUCAUGCUUCUAAUACACCUAAGAUUGAGAACAAGGAUGGUUCCGAUACUCAAAGUGAAGAUAAGGCAUCAUAUCAGAAAGAGAUAUUACAACAGGAAAAUACUGCUGCUAGCAUCUUGUGCCACUCAAAAACUAAUCCAAAGAUGCUGGCUUCUGAUCCUACAUUGAGUGAUGAUGUGCUUGGUGUUGUUGCUGAGCUAGGACAUGUGGAGGACAAAAACCUUAGCAGGUCUCUUUUGCUUCUCAUCUUUUAAGUAAUCAUCUAGUCUCAUGUUAAUUUUCACUGACAUGCAUUGUUUUGAAACCGACAGACAAAGAAAUUAGAAAACGUAAAGAGUAGAGAAAUUAACUUAGAGAUUUUACCUGGUACAUUAAUAGUAUGUUCGAGGCGGGACCAAUAAAAACUUCAUGCAUAAUUUUUUUUUCUUUGAAAGUGAAGGUUGAUGACAAUGCCAUUAGCCUUGGGGGUGGGAUCAUCUACUGUCCUUGAAUGUAGAGGCAAACAUUAGAUUUGAACAUACUAGGUAAUUCAUUUUAGGGUAUGUUAUCGUUUUAGUUUAUGGUUUUUGUUUGAAAGGGUAUUGGAAGUAUUCAUUACUUGUCUCGUCGUCUUGGUAAAAUCUCUCAAAUUGUCCAUCAUUACUAGAAAUUACAAUUUUGGCACGUGCUUUUGGAUGUGGUAGUGAGACAAUGAGCUCUAAUAUUCAGUACUUAGUAUACCAUGUCCAAGUAAAUUAUUAACAACCGCGUUACACGAGACUUAACCAAACUAUAGGGGCCAAAUUUAAAAACUUUGCACGAACCACCUGUUCUGCAGUUGUAUAACCUUCAUUUUGUUACUAACAUUUUGCCACUAUCAUCUAGUAAGGUCACAAGUUGAAUUUGAGCUUAAAGAUAGGUGUUUCAUAACACAAGGAUGUGGUUUGUUCUUAGCAAUAGAUUUGUAGAUAUAGACCGUUUAACAAGAGAUGGAUAUUGGGUAUUUUAGUGUUAUUUAGGAGAAUAACUCAUAUUUGAAGAUAGUUAACAAAGAAUGUGACCAUUCUAUACUUUGAUCUAUAUGUUCUUUCUUUUUUGGUUUCUGGUUUGGAUUGCAGCCUUUUAUCAGAGUACCUAGGAACAGAGACCAUGUUGGCUAUUGUCUGCAAGACUUACAAUGGAGUCAAAUCUCUGGAAAAGUAUGACACGGAAGGAUGCAUAAAUGAAACAUCCGGGCUUCAUGGAUUUGGCACUUCACUCGGGAAAACUUUAGAGGGACGAUUCAAUGUCAUCUCUCUCGAAACGUUAAGGUAUUCAUUUCUUUCUUUCUGACAUGGGGCGGUUAUUUGGACAUUCUAGCACAUAAAUAUUGUGGAACUCUUCUCUUACUGAGAACUCAACACACUCUUUUGGUUUCUUUUGCCUGUGCAGAUCAUAUUCUGGUGAAUUUGUGGCCAAUGAUCCGCAAAGAAGGCUUCAUAUUCCAAAGCCAAGAUUGCCUAAUGGAGACUGUCCAGCCGGUUUUCUUGGUUAUGCUGUUAAUAUGAUUGACAUAGACAGAACACACUUGUUUUUUCUCACAGCUAGUGGAUAUGGUCUUAGAGAGACUCUAUUUUAUUCUCUAUUUUUCUGCCUGCAAAUCUAUAAAACUAGGACAGAAAUGUUGCAAGCUGUUCCCUUUAUAACCGACGGAGCGCUUUCUUUGGAUGGCGGGAUUAUCAAGAGGAGUGGAUUGUUUUGUCUUGGCAAUAGGUACGAAGCACAUCUUGACAAUCUCAAUGAUUAGUCAGUUAUGGAUUCAAAUCUCUACCUGGGGGGACGUGGUCCUUGUCCAAGCACUUGGGUUUCUCUGUUUAUGGUAUAUUUACUUUUAUGCCUGCUAAACAUGUUAGGGGCGACACGAAGGUGACCUUUUCCAAGACCUCAAUAGAUUUAAGCCUACCUGACCAGUACAUGGAAUCUGAAAGACAAAUGAAAGAAAUGAAAUGGAAAGAGGAAAAAAUGCUUGAAGAUAUGAGGAGAGAACAGGUGCUGCUAGAUACCUUGAAGCUCAACUUCGAAAAAAAGAAGGCAGAGUUUGUGCAGUUUCUAGCAGAAGCUGCUGCUCGGGUAAGCACCAAUCCAACUAACAAACAUGACAUAAACUAUGAAAAAUGGCCUUUGCAUUUAACAUUAAUUUGCAACAUCCUAGCUUCGGUCUUUUGAUUUUGUUUGGCAUCAUUUACUUUCCUUUUUGCUUCCUUGUACCGAAAUCUUGUUCAUGUGACAUGGCCAUCAUUAAACUGUUGAAUGAGUUGGUCCAGAAUGAACUGUGUUCUAAACAAACCGUCACUAGUCUUUGUCAUGAAUGUGCUAUUGUCUCUUUUGAACUUGUAUGAGUAUUUUACAAGGUCUGUUAGUUCAAUAUGGCCAUUGUCAUGUAUUCUUCAGUUUUCUAACUUGUAUAUUGUUCAUUAAACUAAGUAAUUUCUUACACACUGGCAGCCACAAACUCCAGUCGGGGAGACUAGUCGAUAGAUGAUUCCAGACAGAGAAUCAACCAACCAUCGAAGGGAUGGCUAAUUGGCUACAUGUUUUGGAAGUUUCAGGGUUGAUGCUCGUUGUUGUCGAUCACGUUUCACACACGAUGGAAUUGUUUUGUUGUAUGAUAUGCAUCAGUGUUGGAUAGGUGAUGGCUUAUUCUGGGGGGGUUUGAAGGAAAUAGGAAUAUUUUGCAAUACCAAGUUUGUGUUGUGUAUGACGCUUCCUCUGACAGCUCUAUGAUGGUUGCCAUUUCUUUCAUCCUCUUUCUCUCUUGCUUUGCUUACCUUCCUGUUUUAUGGGCCAUUUAUCUGUUGACAAAAUGGUGGAUGUAUUCUGCAUGUUUACUUCGACCCUGGAUUCAAAGUUGGAUUCUCAGCCAAGCUCGAGAGUAUAUGCCUUAACCGUUGUUUUACAAUUGCAAUCCGGUAAUGUCUAGGCGUCGUUUCCUGAAUAAAAGUGAUGUUACAAAGUAACCAAACUUUGAAGUUUAGUUUUACAAAUUCAUAUAAAACAUAUAGGAAAAAGCAGGGUUCGAAAUUUAGUUUAUUAACACAUUUCUAACAAAUUUAGUUUCUGUUUCAACUCCUAGUUUGUCACCUAUUGGUUGUGGGCGGUAGGCAACGAAGAAGAUACGAUGAUCUACGGGCACAAUCCAUGUCAUUCAACAUGGAAUGUUACUGCCACUAUUAUUGUGGCUAAAUAUGUCUUUCAAGUCUUCUAGUUCUUUGUUCGGUUGCUUUGUUUUGGGUUGGGUUAGAAAAUAAAACAUUUAUAAAAGAAAAGCUGAUUUUUUUGGAUUAAAUUUUCAACAUUUGAAUUUAACCAAAGUUUUGUCGUUGUUUUUAUUGAGAUCAUUUUAUGAAGUGCAACUGCAACCUAUAAUUAUUGUCUAUACUGUACUGUUUGUGAUUGAGUCUUUGUUAAUAGGCAUUGUAUAUAUGUAUUGAUUAUGAAUAGACUAAAAGAGUGAGGAAAAAUUCUAUAAAAUUAAACUAAUAAAUUACACAAACUCAAAUUUAAGUCUAACUUACAAUGUUGUGAAAUCAAUAGUGUGCAUCAAAAGGGACAACUUAUAAGUUUUUUAAAACUAAAGUUUGGAUUUUGUAUGUAUUGAUUAUUAAUAGAGUAAAAGAGUGAGAAAAACUAUUACAGUAAUCCAAUAACAUUUCAAGUUAAUUUAUUAAAUUAUAAACAAUAAAUAAAUAUGGAAUGUAUGGUUGUCGUUUUAAUUACAAUAACUUUCAACACCUCUAAAACUUCUUCAUUUAUAUCUUUUAACUCCCUUUGAAAUGAAAUUCCAAGUAUUUUGAAAAGGUUUCAAAUCUUCUAUUAGAAUGUUAGUCAUCAAACUUGCAAAUUUAGCACAAUGUAUUAGUAACCAUAUAAUAGUUUAAAUAAAAUCUAAAAUUUGUUUAAGACAUAGUUUUUUAAUUUUAAGAUGGUAAGAAUGUAAAAACAAGAUUCUUACUUUGUCGAAAAAUCAAGACUACAAUCAUAUAUCUUGGUACUGCAAAUUAAAAAUUUUAAAGAAUUUUUCAAUUUAAUUAAAAAAGCAAAAUACAUAAUAAGAAAUAAUCUCUAUACACUUAACUCAAAACACUAAAUCAAAUCACUUAUUGCUGUAUAAUAAUUAUAUAUAUAGAAAAAGAGCUUAGAAUUCUUGAGUUUGGAUUUCACAAUUGACAUCAUUUCAAUUUUAUGUACCCUUACAUGUGUUCUUCAAGUCUUUCUUUAAAUUCUAAAGUAUUAACCUAUUACAAUUACGAUACAAAAAUAUAUAUCAAUAUAAAUGAAGUAAUAGACUAAACAAAACAUAGUGAGUAAAAAGACCUAAGAAAACAAACCUAAUUAAGUAGAAGAGAGUUCAAAUGUUUAGAAAAAGAGACCGAAGAGAGUUCUUUAUUUCAUGGUAGAAGAUAAAAGUUACAAAACCUUUUGAAAUCUUAUAGUUAAUAUAUAUUUAUCAAAUUUUGAAAAUUAAAUUAUAGAAAUGAAGAGAUAACUUUUCAUAUUCUAACAUUUUGAUCUCUUAUAUAAUAAAUUAAGAGUGAAUGUGAGAAUUUGAAAAGAUUAUAAAUGGUUAAUGAUAAUUAUAAAUUAAAUAAUCAUAAAUAAAAAAAUCAAUUAAAUUUGGUUGGUAUUGUAAAUUUAGAAUUUGGCAAGGGAUAGAAUUGUCCAAAAAUGAUUCUCUCCUUAAGCCACUUUUAAGGAUACGUUAUAAGUUCUUUAAAUUAUUUAAAAAAAUUAAUUUGUAGUACAUAAUGUUGAAUUCUCGAGAAAACCACAAUCUUAUUUUACUUUCUUGCCAGCUUAAAAUAAUUAUGUCUUAGCUAGAUAACUAGUUGUUACUAUUAUUUUUCAAAUUAUAAUUGCAAAAUUUUCAAUAUGUCCCCUUCACUAUUUUUCUAAUAGUUCGAGUGACAUGUCAAAUAUAAAAUAAAAUUUCAUCUCAUAUUCUACAAAUAACAAAUAAUAAAAGUCGUAGUUAUAUGACAUAGAUUGACGUGUGACAACUAGCAUGAGCAGUUGACGGUACUUUUGUGGUUGGGCAUAUGUGAGUUUAGGAAGACACGAUUUAGGUGUUUCAAAACCGAGUGCAACUCCCAAUUUCUUCAUUCUUUAAUAUGUUGAAACCUUAAAGAAAAGAAAAGAAACAAUUUAUAGUCAUCUUGACGUUGAUAGGAUUGAAAAUGUGUUAUUUUAUCUCACUUAAUUUAGGAUCAUUCCAUGAUUUUAUGUUUUUAUUUGUCUGGGAGGCCUCCAACAAUUUAAGGAUAGAAUAAAUUUGAUGUGAUGUUGAUAUGAUGCAAAAUUGAAGUUCAUAGCAUUAUUUGAGGAAAGAACAAGCCAAUUUUGGCCUUUUUCUUGUAUCAUCGUGGUGAACUAUGGUGUCGUGCGGGGCGUUGUAAGGCAAUAGCCUUGUAGUUCACCUGCUCACUCCAAACUUAUUCCACACAUUAAUCUUCGUCAACUUCACCCUGUUGUCACGUUUUAUUUAAAUAUUUCUUUUGUCGUCUAGGUAAGUUUAUGUUCGAUUUCAACCACUCCAUCUAUAACGUUUCAAAAUUUAGAUAAAUUUAAUUUAAUUAUGUUUGAGUUUAUUGAGUGUUAUUUUGAGUUAUUUGAAAGAGAAUCGUUUUGUUAUAUUGAAAUUAGAAUUUAUUGAAUAUUCGUUUGAAUGAGUAUUUAAUUAAUUAGUGGAUUUUGGUGUUGGUAGAACUAUGGUUAAUUGUAUAUAUAUAUAAUUAUUAUAGAAAAUGAUAAAGAUAAUUUUAUUUGUGGACAAUUAAUUAUUAUGAAAGAUAACUAAUUAUUUUAAGAAAAGAUAAAUAUUGAUCAAGUAGAGAGGUUGAUAUGAUUGGGUAAAUGAGGAAAGAGAAUGAAUAAGAUUUAUUUAAAAAGAAAAUUGAUAAUUAGGUAUUGGAUAUCAUUACUAAGAAAAAUGUAACAUUCCAAAUUUUUAUGGAUCUUUUAUUGAUUAUUUUAAAUUAUUUGGGAGUUAUCUUUAAGGUUUGAAGUUAAAAUUGAAAUAUUGAAUUAAGAUCAUUCACGAUCAAAUUUAUGAAAUUUUAAAAUAAUUAAUUUAUGGGAGAAGAUUUGGUUAAUGAAAAGAUUUUGGUGAAAUGUGAUAUUGAUUAUUUGGUUUUGUAUAAAUAACUAAUAUGAAAAAGUAAAAAGAUAAUUAUAUGAUAGGAUAUAAUUGUAAAUUGUUAGAAAAUAACAUAAUUAAUGAUAGGAGAUGAUUGAUUUGAUUGGAUGGAAAAAAUAAUGGAUUUAAUUAGGCUAUGAAAUAAGGAUUUAAAUAAAUAUAUAUGUUUAUCCCUAAAAUUGUGUAUAUUUAAGGAAUUGUAAAUCAAAUGGAAAUAAUAAUGAUAAAUAUUAUUUUUAUUACGUGAGUUUAUAAAUAGGACUUAAAUGCAUAAGUAUACGUGUUUAUGCUUGUUUAUGGGAUCACUCACAUGACUAGGAGUGUUCCUACGGGACCACUUGCAUGAUUAGGGGCGUACAUAUGAAUCACAUGCACGGUUAGGGAACAAUUAUACUAUAUAUACGGGGUCAUUUGCACAACUAGUGGUGUUUCGAUGGAAUCACUCGCACGAUUAGGGGUGUACCUAUGUAUCACAUAUAUGUUUAUGGAGUGUGCACUUGCGAUCACUUGUAGGACGAGAGAUGUUUCCUUCGGGGUCACUUGCAUGAUUUAGGAGUUGUUCGUACGGUCUUACUGGCCUAGGUGUGCUCCAUUGGACACACGACGUAAUGAUUAUGUUUCGAACGAAAAGUUAACAAAUCACCUAGCGAGACCAAUAGUAAGUCCCUUACUGGGUAUAUUUUAUAUACUCACUUUUUUCUAUAUUUAAUUUUUCAGACAAAGUUAGAAGAUCUGAAAAGUUGGCGAGCGAUAGGAAGAGUCUGUGGCAUGCCAUAUGUGGACUCAGUUUUCCUUUCGCGUCUAUGUAUUAGUUUUCAGUAUUUUAUUUUUUGACAUUUUAAAUUAAUUUUUUAUCCUAUUUAUUUUAUUUUAUUUUUUAAAAGAAUUGUUAAAACGUCAUGCUUUUAAAUUAUUUUUUUAUUGAUUAUAUGUCUUUCGAACAUUUAUUUGAUAUUAAUUUUAUAAAAAUUUAGUUUUCCUUUUUUCAAGAAAUGUAUUUUGAUAUUUAUCUUUUGAGUAACGACUUUAGCUUAGCUUAAAAGUUUAAGUCGUUACACUAACCUACAAUUCUCUUAUUCUACUCUCAUUUAGGUUAUGUUUAUGUGCUUCAACAUUUUCUCAUUGCUCAGCACGUGAAGAGUGGGCUAAUGGCCUAAGGUACUCUUUUCUAGCUUAAGUCUUAGGAGUUUUUCAUUAUUUCAUGCUUUUGUGAGAUUUCGUACUUACAAUUUUGUAUUGCUUGGUUUAAUUUUGUAUUCAAAAUUAUAUUUAAUCACAUUGUUGGACGCUUGGGGAUUGUAGAUUAAGUAAGCUUGCAAAUGAUGAUGUUUAGUAUUGAUCUAAUCAACUUAGGAUUGAACCCAACAAAUAGAUAACUAAGUGAUAUAUGAAAACUCUAUGAUCUAAUAAUUAGAAAUCCAAUUGGAUGAAUCUCCGAUGUCAAAUUCUAAACCCCCAAAUCAAUUUGACAACAACUCAGGAAAUGAGUUAGAUUUGAAUUAUUCUUUAUUUUUGACCAAGAGAUAAGGAGAUCUAAUUCCUCACUUCAAGUUCGAACCACAAGCAAGAUGAUCAAACUUAUCGAAAUGUUCUUGAUAUGUAGUUCCGAAAAUCAAGAAUUAAAAAAAAUGGUGAUGAGACUAUGUUAUCUAUCGGGGAUUAUUAAUAGAAAAGCUCUAAACUUCAAAUUUCAAAACUUACUUUACACAACCUAAAAGCAAGACUUAAAUAGCCUCUCACUAAAAUUCUAAUGUAUUAUGAAAAGACUAAAAUAACUCUACUUAAAUGUUACUAAAAAUAUUAAAACUGAAAAAUAUCAUCCUCUUCUUCUUUUGAAGGAUUAUAUAUAUAUAUAUUUAUGAGGUUUUAUCAAAUUAUAGGUUAAACUCUAAUUUUCUCCAAACAAUAUUGACUUACAAUUGCAAUUUAAUUAAAUUUAUAAACAUAAAUUAUACUUAUAAUUAAAUUAAUGAUAGUUCAUUAUCAACUAAAUCUUAGUGAAUAAGUAAGACGAGUUUUAUGAUUUAUAAAUAUGUAGAGUAAAACACAUUUAAACAUUUUUGUAAAACUAGAAUCCAAAAUUUGAAUUUGCCACCAAACAUAUUUGAAAAUAUAAAAUACAACUAUAUAUGUUUUCGAAUUUCUGUAUUCAAAUUCUCUACCAAACAUGUCGUAAUUAACACUAGGAAUUGAAUGACUUCUCAUCCUUUUGCAUUAAAUUGAUUUGUUAAUGAGAAAAAAUUAAUUAGUUUUGAAUAAUUUGAUUUGUUAAACUGAUUUCUCUAAUUAAUUUGGUCAGAGGAAGUGUUCGAUAGUUAUUAGCAAUGACAAAUCCAUGCGAUCAAAUGUUUUGAAUAGGAGAACUCGAAAACAACCUAAGCUAGAGUCUUUUAAUUAUUGAAUUUGUUCAAAUUUUCUUUACUUGCAAAUUUACAUUUUUUUGCAAUUGAAGUCGAUCUUAACACUCUAUAUUAGUAAUUACCUCAUGUUGAAGCUAUUUACUAAACAAAACUCAUACUUCCUUCAUUCGACUCAAACUUACAAUUAAAAUAUCCAUUCGAUCAGAUGUUUAUUUCUUAUAAAGUAAAUUAGGGUUCAAUUUAAUAAGAAUUUGAAACUUUUUUUAACUAAACGACGCUACGAUCUUGUUUUGUAACUAUAUAUUUUUCUUUUUGUUUUUGUUUUUGAAAAUUAAGCUACUUUUAUCUUAACUUUUUUCAUUUGUUAUCGACAUUUAAAAUAGGCUUAGUUGUAGAAGCAAAAACAAAAAAAAUGAAAGGGUUCAUAAGACCUAAAUGAAAUACACAGUUCAGUAUUAAAAGAUUGGAUUAUAAUUUAAAACAGUUGCAAACUAAUUGUAGUUAGUAACUAAAUAUUACUUGAUAAUAAAUUAUUAUUAAUUUAUUUAUGAACAUAUUUUAAGUUAAAAGUUGUAUAACUAUUAUCUUGUAAUAUUAUGUAAUUUAUAGAAGAAAAAACUGAAUUAAAAGAACUCCAUGCCACCUUUUCUCUACCCACAAAAAACAAUAUUUUAUUGUUUUUUUUAGAAAAAUACAAGUGCUACGCAUGACAUUUAUUUUCAAAGUCAAGUUUAAGUCUUACCUAACAAAUCUCCCAGAAUUCUAUGUGGUUUGAUAAAAGUUUUCAUAGAAAAUAGUAUCUAUUGAAGGAUUUAACAAACCAUAGGGGCAAUAUUUGAAAUUAACUUUUAAAUUUUAACUUUAUCCAAAUAUCUAACUUUGAGUUUAACUUAAUUUAAUAUGUAAUAUAUUAUAUAAUGGGACGUUUGCAAAAAUAGCAAAAAAAAAAAAAACUUUAUGAUAAUUAAGUCUAUGUCACUCCAUUUUCUAUAUUGUAAAAGUAGCAAAUUUAAAAGAUGAUAAUCCUAUGAUAUUUCUAUCAUAGUUGUCUGAUAUCAUUAGUUUUCUCAUAUUUCCAAUAUUCAAAAUAUAAAUAUCAUAAACUACUUUUUUCUAAAUGUUUUUUUUAUGUCAUAUGACUAAUUUUUCUUGCAUAAAAUUUUAAAAUAUUUAAAUUGAAUUUAUAACGUGAUAUACUAUAUUUAAUAGUAUAUUUUUAUUUAAUAUAAUUCUACCUUUUAAAUUUUAAAAUUCAAAUAUUGCAAAUGUAUUACAAGUACUUUAUGGGGGCAUACGGGACUUUCGCUUUCAUGUUCAAACUCUUCCCUUCAAUUUCUCAUUCCUUACACUUUUUAUUGUCAUUCCUACCAUGGUUCUUAAUUGAUACGAAAAGGAAUUGAAUUAGGGGCCCAGAAAAUGUAGUUAAUCAAUUAGUUAAAUAUUUCAUUCAAAAUUAUCAUAAAACUCAAUUUAUGGUACACGAGGUUAUCCAAUUCGCAAAGUGUUACCAUUGAAACGAGAGAAAAAAAUAUAAAUAACUUGAACACAUACGUACCUAAGUCUUUCAAAGUUUUAACUCCUGAACGUAGAGAUUUACAAUUUUCAAGCUCUAAACCUCCCUCAAAUGUGCCUCCACACGUUUGAUUCUCAUACUUUUAAUUCCAAACCUGGGAGCAUAAUCAAAGCCACCACUAAAGAUAGAGAGAGGUGUUUAUACUUUAAUCUUUCUUAUAUAUAUAAUUAUCUUAAACGACAUAUGUAUUUGUGUUAUUUUUAAAUCAUAUUUUACAUUUAUGAAGCAUUAUCUAAUAAAUUGAAUAUUACUUAAAGGUUUAAUUACCAAAAUAAUGUUAUUUUAAAACUAUUUACUAAAAUAUUACAAUUUCAAAAUUAUUUACGAAAACAUUUCUAUUUUUUUCUCUCUAUUGGGUGAAGACUCGCCCAAUUGCUUCUUUUCCUCUUCUUAAGACUUGUUCAAUGUUUUUUAUUUUUAGUUUUUUAUAUAGAUUUUAUUGCUUUUUUUUUUUAAAAUUGUUCGUAUACAUUUUUCUUCUUCUUUCUUUUUAUUUAUUUUUCAUAUAAAUUUUAUACUUUUUCUUAAUUUUUUUAUAUAAUUUUUUCUUAAAAUCUAAAUUCUACUCCUUUAAAAAAUUUGAAUUAAACACGCAUAAUGUUAAUACUUUUUUAAAAUUUCACUAAAAUCUAUUGGGAUGCUCUAAAAAGAAUUAAAAUUUUUAAAAAAUUACCAAAUUUCAAGAGUGAUUGUAUAAUAAAAAAACACACAUGAAUAAUGUAAAUAAAUAUUUUUCGUUAUAAUUCAAAAUUUCAAGAGUAUAAUAUUAGUAUAACUUAACCAAAUAAAUACAACAAAUAAUAAUGUUAAUAAUUUUUUUAGAAUUUUUAAAAAUCUUUUAGUAUAUUCUAAACAAAAGUAAGACUUUCUGUAAAAUAAAUAAACAAAUAUAAUAGAUAAGGUUUCACACGUACGGGUGGAUUCAAAAUAAAUAAAUUCUGAGUAUUUAAUUUAACAAUAUAAAUUAUAUAAAAGUAUAAAAUUAUAAGUAAUUAUGUUUAUUCGACCGAAAAUAAUCAAGUGUAGUAAAUUUGUUCGUUAAAAGUGUAUAACAUUAUUUAUUUAUUUGUUAAAUUUGGUUGGACACAUGACUUUAUAGAAAUAUUGCUAAUUUGUUCUUAACAUUUCUCUUUCUAAUAAAUAUAGUUCCCUUUCCUUUUAUUUUUUUAAGAGGAAAGAAUGUGAUUUGUAUUUUUUCAAAUGAUCAAUUUAAUAAAUCAAAUAAAAUAAAAUUACAAUAUUAAAAUUAAUAAAGCAUAAAUUUGGAGAUUCAACUUUCCAUUUAUAUUUCUAAAACAAAAAGAAAGUAUGAAUCAAUCACAUAUAGAAUAACUUAUAUAUAUAUUAAUUACUAAUAGUUUUGUUAUAGGUUUUUUUGGAAUCUUAUUCACCUAAAACUAUUAUGAUUAUUUUAAAUAAAUGAGUAGAAGUUAACUUCAAAUAACUAGACAUAUUUAAUAUAGCAUUUCACAAAAGUUAAAAACAUCAGCCUAAAAAAUUAAAAACAAAAUAUGACUAUAUUUGGUUUAUUGAUUGUAUAGAGAUUAAAAUUUAAUAUUUUAAAAGUACAUAUACUAUACUAACACUCAUUGAUAUCCAAUAUUCAAAACUAUAAUUGCAACGACAUUAGUGAGAUAUAAUAGAUAACUUUUAGUGAUAACAGUAGUUAGAAAGAUAAAAGCUUAAAAUUUCUAAUUUUGACCAUUUGCAAGGUUAAAAAAUUACACAUCCAAUUUUAUUAUUUUUUAAGUUUCACGGUAUCAAAUUUUCAAAUGCAUAAAGAAUCAUAUUUUGUUUCGUUUUAAAUGAAAAAGGGUUGGAGACUGGAUAGGUAGUGCGAAUAAGAAUACAUGUAAUGAUCAAACAUUUUAAACAACGAAAAAAUAAGUUUUAGAAUAAAAUACUAAUACAAUUGAUUCGGUUGAUAAAAAAACUUACAAAUUGAAGGACAAUUCUACUAUUAUCUUUCAAUUUGUUUUUUCGAUUGCCAAUCCAUGAGAACGGAACUACACAAAAAGUAAAUAACAUGACAAUGUAAUAUUGUUUGUUAUAUAUACAUGACAUAAAAAGAGAAAAAUAGACUUGUUCAUCAUUUUUUCGAACCGCCACAAAAUAUACAAAUAUAAAAUAAAAACGUGGUAAUGCGAAGAUAUAACUGAGAUUAAGAAGAUUUUUAUAUACAAAGUGGGGAUUUUCCAUAUCUUCAAGUUUAAAAUCAUACUUUUUGUUUAGAAUACCAAAUUAAUUUAACAAAAUUUUAAUUAGUAGAAUUUAGUUCUUUUAAAAAAUUAAUUUAAAAUUUAUAUGAAAAAAUUUAAGAAAAAUAUAAAAAUUUAUACGAAAAAGAAGAAGAAUGUAUACCAACAAUUAAACAAAAGAGAAGCAAUAAAAUUUAUAUAUAAAAAAAACUAAAUAGCAAAAUAGCAAUAUUUUCGUAAAUAGUUUUGAAACUUCAAUAUUUUGAUAAAUAGUUUUAGAAAAAACACUACUUUGAUAAUUGAUCCAUGAUUAAUAUAUUAUUGCUAAUUAUUAUAAGUUUAAAAUAAAACAAAAGAUAAUUGAAAGUUGUUUUAGUAGUAAAUAAAUCACGAGUUUAAAAAAAAGCUAUAGUCACAAAAAAAAAGUUACAUUUUUAACAAAUUCAUACCAAUUUUCAGAAUCUUUUGAACUUUCAUGUAACAAGUUUAUAGACGGAGUUAACCAUUUGUCUAAUAUAUUCAAAUCAAUUGCUUCUUGAUUGAAUUGAGUGAACGGGCUUCCUAUGACUCCAACAAACAAAGUAAAUAGGGAUAACACAAACAUCGGAAAUAGCAUAGUAUUCUCUAUAAUUCAUGACAACAAUUUAUCUAGAAUUUAAUAUCGUAGUGCUUAGCAUCUUUAUAUUUCCAUAAGUGAGUUAUAUUUUUAUUUUUGGAUUGUGAGUUAACAAAAAAAAUUGUAGUAAAUUUUUUUUUUCAAUUUUACAACUCCCCAACCUAUAUGGAUCAAAACUCACAUAUAUCUAAACAACCAUGCUUAGCAUCUUAUCCAUUCAAUACCUCAAAUUCUCUUAUACUAUAUUUUUAGGGUGAAAUUCUCUUACUAAGAGCUCUAAGUUCUUUUUCUUUCUUUCUUCUUUUAUAAACAAAACCUUCUAAGUUUAAAUCUCACCCACCUAGCUACAUAACUGAAUUAUAUUAUAAAAACCAGGUUUUUUUAAUAGAAGAAUGAAGGAAAAUGUGAUCAUAAGAAAUAAAGGGAUUUAGUCGGCAAAAAACAUAAAUAUUUUGUCUGUUUAUAGGUGGAGUUGACUUAGUUUCAAGUCAUGUUUGAACUUUGAGGCCCAACUUAUCUUAUCAUAAAUUCAAAUUAAAUUUGAACUCUAUUUUUUUAAAGAAAAAAAACUAGAUUACAUUUUUAUUUGUUCUCAACACUAAUUCAAUUUUAGUAAUUAUUUUAUAAGUUUACAUUUUUGUCUUGCAUACAAAAUAAUUAAGAAAAGUUGAGUUUCAAAGUUGAGUUUCUUAUUCUCAAUCGACUUAAUCCAAUUUAUUAAUCCAAACAUUGGUUAAGAAUUAGUAAAUAUUAUAGCUCAUUUAUUAUUAAUUAUAUUAAGAAAAACACAUCACUUUUAAUUAAACAUUUAAUAUUAGUCAAAAUGAAUCUUAAAUUAAGAUAAAUGAUUAAAUUAAACUUUUUUCUUCGCCAAACUAAAUUAAAUUAUAUAAGUUAUUCAACUUGAAUAUAACUCAACAAUUUUAUUAUACGUUGAACAUGUUUGAUGAAACGGAAUUAAUGUUUAAACCCUCAUUCUUCACCUUGAUUGUAAUAAAGAAAAGUAUACACUCAUGUUUAAAAUUCAAUCAUCAAAAUAAAUAGUGUAAACUGAAAUUAAUGAUAUAUAUUGUCAUUUUAAUAUAAAUAUAUGUUCUUUUUCUAAAAACAAGUUCUUUAUUUAGAUAUUUUCUCUAGACUAACAAAAUUUCAUAUUUAGAUUUUCACUUGUUUAAAAACAAAUAUUAGAAGUUUCAUGAAAAAAAGUAAAUUAGUUUAAAUAACAACCAGAUCUUGAAAAUAUUUUAAAUAUAGUUCCAUCUAUAGCAAAUCUAUAUAUAUAUAUAUAUAUAUAUAAACUUUACAAAUAAGUGUAAUAAUUAUAACCUUAAUUUUCAAAAUCCAUAAAUGAAGAGUUGAACAGUUAUCCAAUUAGAAACUAAACCUAAUAAAUUGAAUCAAAAUAAAAGUUUUAAUAAUAUUCAUUUGCCAAAAAUGAUUUAAAUGAAUGUUGUUAAAGUUACAUACAUUAAACAAAAGAAGAAAAAUGUUACCUACCUGUUCUGUCACCACCAAGAUAUUGAUAUGUUUGUAACACAUACAUGUGUGUAUUUCAUUCUAAAAAAUUAGAAAUGAAUGAAUGACAUAUAAGAAUAUGGAAUCAAAUAUAAAAAUAACAAUUUACAACUAAAAGAUCAGAUCGGUACAAACAAAAGUAAGAAGAUCAAUACAAUAAUAUUUAAAACUAUAAUUUAGAUAAGAAUUAGAGAAUUGGAAUCAAACCUAAAUUAAAAUUUAUUCAUUAAUUAACUUUAAGAUAAACAUAGAAACCAACAAAGCUUCGAGGCAUUCUAUCCUUAAAAACCGAAGCUUUGAGGUUAAGUACAAUCCACACACCAAAUUCAUCACUAAAAUCACUCUUUUUUUUUCUCUCUUAAUUUUAUCAUCUUGCAAUGUAAUAGAAAAAACAUCUAUCUCACCCCAAUUUUAAAGCUUAAGAGAACAGUGAACACACAACCAAUUUGAACAUAGUUCAACUGGAUUAUCAAAGCAUUAUAGUCGGAGAUUCAAAUCUCGUACUCAGAAAAAACACACCAGAAAAUAAUUUUAAGAAAGAUGAAGAAUUUAUUACAAAAGUCUAUAGCUCUUGCAAAAAAUGAGCAAGAACACACAGCAGAAACCCCAUAUCUCUCCCCCAGCAGAGAUCCCAUAUCUCUCGCCCACCAAUUAAAAGGAGCUUCCAUGAAAAAUAAGAGGAGGUGGCGGUCGUGCGGGAGUAGGCGGAGGAACAUCGACGGUUCUAGCACCGGUGACGAGGUCUCGGAUGAGUCUGCAGAGUAUUUCUUCAGCCAUGAAAGCCGCCAAAGCUGCGGAAUUAACAAGGCUCUCAAAAAUUUGAGCUUUGAUACGACCGCGUUUUGGUGGAAGGGUAGAGAUCUUCCCCUUUGAAGAUGUGGAAGAAGCUGCUGCCAUGGCUGAAGAAGAAGUAAAAAGAGAAGAGCUCGAGAGAAGAAGAAGAAGAAGAGAAGGAGGGAAGAAUAGAAGGACUCCAAAGAUGUGGGGACUUAUAGGGCCAAGGAGAAAAUUUGGGGGUUCUUUUUGGAAAAUAUUGAAUAGUGACACCAACAAAUUAUUUAGGUUUAAUCUAAUUUUUUAUUACGCUUUUUCCUUUUUCUUUUUGCAAAAGUUUGAAAAUUUUCAAAUCUAUCUUUUCAGAUACCUCAAGUAAAUAUUUUUAGAAGUAAAUAAACAUUCAUUUUUAGUUAUUAAAAAAUAGCUCGAGAUUGAUAAAUUUUAUAUUAGAUCUAAGUAAGAAACCAUAUGACUUCAAAUUAUUCUCCUCGUAAAUUUAUUAUUAUCUUUAAUUUACAUGAAAAAUACUAUAUACAUUUAUAUACAUUUAUAUAUAUUUAUGUAUACUAUCUAAUUGUUUUUUUUUUCUUUUUUGAAAAAGGGAAAUUCAAUAACACCUGGCAAAUGAAGCAAAAUGUUACCAUUAUAUAUGAAAAUGAGAAUCACACACACCAAACCCUCUUUUAACUUUUUUUGAAAAAGGAGUGUGAAACAAAAAAAAUCAAAAUAUACAUUUUUAAAAUAUAAAUAUAAAUUUCUUUUUUUACAAUAAUUAGAGUUGGCAUGCAUAAAUAUGAUAAAUCUUGAAAUACAAUCAAGCAUUGGUUUGAUAGAAUUUUAUAUAAGAUAUUCAAAUGCAUGACAUCUUUGAGAAUCUUAGUUGCAGAAAAGGUUUUGUUGAUGAGCAAAUGGAUGUAUUUUUCUGUCUACUUUUCCAAAUAUAUGUGGUAAUUAAAUAGCAAUAUAUUAUUAUAUAAUUUUUAUUUGAAAAGAUUUGAGAUUGAGAGCAAAAAAAAAUUACAAACUAUUUUAUUGGUCACAUCCCACUUUAAAAUUAAUUUAAAACUAAAAAAACUUUCAUUUCAUUCAUCUGAGAUUAGUUUUAAAUUCAGUAUUAGAAAACCAAAUAAAAAAAUAAUCCCACUUAAGAAAGUAAAAACAUACGAAAAAUAUUAUAUUUACCUCUUUGUUAAUUAAGCUAGUUAUAUUUUGAAGAGUUUAUUUCAAAUACACAAAAAUGAAUUAAAAUAUAUAUAAAUAUAACAAAAUACUAUCGUUUAUUCUUAAUAAACUGUGAUAGAUUAUUAUAAAUGUCUAUAUCAUAAUUUGAAUUAUACAUAACCUAUCAUAAUCUAUUUUAUAGAGAUUCAUCAAUCAUAUUCAUAAUUUUGAGGCAGCCAUAAGAAAGAAUAAAAUAAGGGAAAUUGAGUUUACUUUGAUUAUCCAAGUCCACAAGUUUUUCAUUAGAAUAAGGGUUUUGGGUUUUGGUAAUUUGUGAUAUAUAUAUUUUGUAAUGGUGGAAUUUUUAAUUAAAAAAGUAUAGGUUUAACCUCUAUUUUAAUACAAAAGUAAAAGUUAUGAAAUAGAAAAAACGAAAGUAAACAAUAAUUUUUUUCUUUCGGUUUAAGAAAAGGGAAAGAAAAAAUGAAAAAGUACGAAGCUUUAUGGAAGAUUCUUACUUAUCCAGAUUGGUACGACAUUUAUAUGCGUUUUAAUACAAAAUUAUUAAGAUAUUUCUUUUUCCAACUUGGCAUUCUAGAACCAAACAUGAGUCCUUUUCAAAUUGAAAAAAAAAAUAGACAUUAUGUUUUUAAUUGAGUUUGAAAAUAAAAAUGUAUUUUUUAAAAUUCAUUUUUAUUUAACUAGUUUUAGUAUUUUUAUUGACAAUUUUGUUUGGUUUCCUGUAUUAAUUUUUUUUUAUAUAAAUGUAAAAGUACAUCAAAUAAUUUUCCAAUUCAAAUUUAGAGUUUGUGUUAGUAGUGGUUGGAGUUGCCUGUCGAAGGUAGUAGUCGGAAUGCGAAGGGUGGUGGUCAUUGGAGGUGACUGCCAAAGUUGGUUUUCGAUGAUAUUGGUUGGAGUUGGUCAUCAAAAUGUAGUGACCACUAGAGUUGGUGUAGGUGGUCAUCGGAGGCUCUACUAGUGUUGGUUGAUGGCAAUGAUUGUCGAACGUGGUUGGUGGAAACCAUGGAGGGAGUGGACUAAGGACUAGUGAGGAUAUUUUUGAUAAUUUUAUACCGAUUAGGGUGAGAUUAUAUAUUCAAAAAUCAUUUAUUUUAUUUUAUUUAAAAGUGAUUUCAAGUAUUUCUUUCAAACACUCAAACUCCUUUCAAAAGCUAAUUUGAGUUAUUAAUUCUCAUACACUAGCUUUAAAUUAACUUUUUUUCAUAGUUUAGACGAACUAAAAAUUUCAUUAUGAAAUGGCAAACUCACUAUCCCUCCUCGUGUCUUUAUGAACUUUAUUAUCCUCAAAGUGCUAUCAGCAACAUUUUUUAUAUAUAGUGCGAUCAUCGAUCCCCUUCAAAGCUUCAAAAUGUAAUGCUUGUUGAAGUUCUUGAAUCUUAACUUAUUCCAAAAUUGAAAGUAUCUAAUUUUUUAUUCAAAUUUUUGAGAUUAAUUUAAUCAAUUACAAUGACAAAACUGUCAAAAAUAUAUUUUUAACUAUAACAAAAUGUCGAUGUUUACAAAUGGUAGAUCAUGAUAACUAGACUACUACUAUUAGUUUACUAAGAUCUAUCACUUAUAGACGAUGACAUCUUACUAUAUUUAUAAAUUCAAAAUUCUAUUAAUUUGAUAACAGCCUAUCCAAGUUGUACCACCUCUCUUUGGCAAUGAAAUAUUUUGUUUAAGUAAAAUAACAAAUUACAAUAUAAAAAUGAGGGAAGUAUAAAAGUGAACAAGAUGAAGACGAAAAGUCUGCUUGUUUUAAUAAAUGGAAUUAAAGAAAGAAACCAUUUUCAAGAUGCAUGAAAUAAUGAUUUAUUGUAUGUGAGUCAAUGAGUAUAAUUUUCUUCCUUUGUUUUUCGUUUGGUUAGAAUGAUUCUUUUUCUUAACAAUUGAGAACUAUUUAUUGGGAUCUAUUAAAGACAGUUGUGUGUCAUUUGUAGGAGAGAAAGAGAAUUUGAAUGGAUGCAUGGAAGAUAUGAGAUAGGAAAGUAAAAUUGAGAGAGAGACAUGAUCUAAUCAUUUAAUCAAUUGGUAAAGCCUAAUUAAUUUUUCAAUUCAUUUAUCAUAAGUAACUAAUUAAAUAUCGAUCCAAUAGACAAGUCAUAUGCAACACAAUUCAUUAGAACAUUCUAACUAUGACUAAAGACAUAUGCAACACAACGUGUUUUCUUUCCAUUUAAUAAUCAUCAAAAGGAUUCACAUAUCUUUCUUUUUAGGACUAAAGACAAAUCAAAAAGAAAAAUUAAGUUUUAAGAGUAUAUAUGUCGUAUGUGUAUGAGGUAAAAUAAACUACUAAAGAAAACGAGUAUAUAACCCUUGAUCUUCCAAUUCUCUAUAUGCAACACAAUUCACUAUGACAAACAUGAAAAAUGAGACAACAUCAAGUUUUUCGCCUCUAACUUUAGCUUUCUAAUUAAACAAGGAAACUUCAAUUAUUACUAUUAUGUAGGUAAAUAUUUGUAUGUUGUAACAUACAAUAUGUUUUCAAUAAUUAUUAUAUAAAAUUAUGUUGUGAAAUAAAUUUUCUUACAUACAUCUCUAAGUUUAUAAAAUAUAAUUACUAGGCAUAUGCAAUGAUGUCACUAUGUAGUCAUAGUAGCGUUGAUCAUAAUUAUAAAUUUUAAUUUCUUCCAUGUUGUUCUUCUUAAUCCCUUCCAUUAAUCCGUUCGAUCUCAUGGAGAAUUAAAAGUCUCCAAGAAGAGAUUGAUGUGAAAGCAACAACCAAAAUUUGGAUGAAUUAUAGAACAUUUCAUUAGUUUUGCUUUUAUUUACAAAUAGUUUCAAAACAAAUUCUCCUUUUUAUCUAUAUUUAAAAAUGUCCCAUUUUUUUUUUUCAUACAUCCACAUUUUUCUUUAAUAUCUAACAUAUCCCUCUCAUUUCUCUAACUUUUUCCUUCAAUUACAUAUACACAAACAAAUAUUAAUUAUAAAGUAUGUAUGAAUUUCUAUUUACUUUAAACAUAAAAUAAAAGUGGUUAUUAUCAAACAUGAAUAGUGUUUCUUUUGACAAAAUAAAAAAAAAUUAAAAGUGAGAGAAACUAAUUAUAAUUAUAAUUAUUAAAGGAAGGUUUAUCAAAUUAAAAAUAUGUAUACGUAUUGGCUACGAAAUCCCAAUUAAUGUUAUAAUGUUAUUGUUGCCAGAUAUUAUAUACAAACCUUUUCAAACACAAUUUGAUAAUAUUACUCCCAAAAUUCCAAGAUUUAUUCUUUUAUUAUUGUACCAUUUCCAUUCUUACAAAUAAAAUUUAAUAAAUAAAUAAACUCCACAAUUAAUGUCUUUGACUUUUUAUUAUUUGAUGAGAAAUUGCAUCAUACUACAAAAACAUUUAGAAAAAAAUAGUUAAUGACACACAUUUUUUACAUAUUGAAUAUGACAAAUAUGACAAGUAAUUAGUGGUAUCAGAAAACUUUCAUACGACUAUUAAAGAGUUAUUAGAAGACUAUCAGAAUAUUAUCAUAGGAUUAUUAGAAUGUUAUCGUCUUUUUAAUUUGUUGCUUUUACGAUUUAUUAAAUAGAGUGACAUGAGUUCUAUUAUCAUUUUUUUUUUUUUGCUAUUUCUGGACGGUUGUUAUAUAGUUCAAAUUAAAACAUAGUUAUAGCUAUAUCUUAGGCUUUAGCUUCGGUUACAUUACUAAACAAUCAUAAUUUGACAUCAAAUCAUCAUCCAGUCAAUACUAAAUUAAAAAAAAUAGUCGUCCCUCCUAAAAAUUCCACCUAAAAGUUUUCUUUUAUUCUAUUAAAUGUGGUUUGGAAAAAAUAAAUAUCUUCUCUCUUCUUUUAUAGGCCUUCUUUGGAAAGAAAGAAUUUUUUUAGUUUGAAAAAAAAUAGAAAAUUUCAAAUAUAAUAAAAUUGGUAAAAAUAUUUACAAAUAAUAUUACUGCAACUUUCAAUUACAUCAAUAUUUUCAAAAUAAAUUAGAAAGUUUAAGAAUUUUUCUUCUUUUUGGUAAAUUUACCUUAGAACCAAAACAACUUUACUAAGGCACAUGGUCCUUCACUAUGACUUUUCCUAAUUGAUGUUAUUUGGAGAUAUAUAUUCAUAGAUAAAUAUGCUUGAUUAGUUAAAUUAAUCAUAAUGUAUUCCUAAUUCAAUUAACUAAAUGAUCUAUUUUGAAAUCACAAUCAAUGAGGCUGUUGUCAAAAUGUUUUUAAAUUUAAUAUUUAUUGUAUGAGAUAUAAGAUAAGAAUGAUUGAAGUAAUCAUAUAUAUUAUGUUAAAACCUUAAAGAACAAUUUAUAUGUAUUUGUGAAAAACAAUCUUGUGUCCUAGUCAUCAAAGAAACAACAGGUUAUCGCUCGCUUGAGUAUUGAGUUUGAAUACCGUGCAUUGGCUCAUACCUCUGCUGACAUUAUUUGGGUUCAACAACUGUUGAGUGAGUUGGGUAUUUCUCAGUCUCGUACACCGAUCAUAUGGUGUGACAAUAUUAAUGUCAGUGCUCUUGCAUCAAAUCCUAUCCAUCACGCACGGACCAAACACAUUGAGAUUUACAUACAAUUUGUUCGGGAUAAGGUACUUAAUGGCCAACUUGAAAUUCAGUAUGUUCCCUCUACUGAUCAAAUUGCUGAUUGUCUAACAAAAUCACUAUCUCACACUUAAUUUAGUCAUCUUUGUACCAAACUCGGCAUCCUUUCACUCCCCUCUCGUCUGCGAGAGGAUGUUAAGGAAGAAACAGAUACAAAAAUAGCCAGCUCAGCCAAUCCCAUGUGUACCAAUUCAUCAAAAUAAAUAACCACGUUGGAAGAAUUUCAUAACCCUUUAUUUGUUAUCUUUAUGUUAUUUUUUGGCUGAUUAUGAACCUAUAGAAUUUUUCCAUGUGUAUCCUUAUUUACGUCUUCUUUUUAUUUGUUUGCCCUAAUUGAAAGAGUUGUUGUACUAUAAAUAUAGACCAAAGGUCUAUCAUAUCAAUAAGGAAUACAAUACAGAAAUUUUCCAUAAUACUUUUUGUUCUUCAUUGUUGUGCUAUAAAUUUCAAACAAAAUUGAAGCAAUAAGUGAUCGAGCAUUUUCUUAUGGAAUUCAAUCCCUUCAAUUGUGUCAUCCAUCUUUCACUCAAAAAGUGUAACCUUGCAGCAUUUAUUCAUUUUAUAACUCAAGUAUCAAAACUAGCUUGUAUGGCAAACACCACACGUGUGCAUUUCUUCCUAUUUUGUAGGUUACACUCUUUUUCUAUCAAACAAAUUUAAUUAACGUUAUCACAUUAAAUACCAUUUUAGUUUUUGAGACAUGAGAGUCGGAUUUCUCCUUCCUAAAGUUACAAAAUCUUGUAAUUUAACUAAUAUAUAAUAAUUGCAGUUUUGAAGUUGUGAAUAUCUUAUAUGUUGAUCGUUUAUAGUCGAAAAGGAUAAUCCCAAGAGGUUUUUCAAACCCGAAGAGAUAUUUUUCUUUUUUAUCUAUUCGGAUCUCUUCCGUUUCAUCGAUUUUGUCCGGAUCCUCCUUUUCUUCCGAAAAAAGGGAAGGAGAAGUAUCUUCUUCGGUGGAUCCCUCUUGUUCCUAUUAGUUCAUCCUAUUAGCUUGUGGCACAUCCCAAAUAAGUAUCUUACAAAUUGGAUAAUCUAACUAAAUCUCUAAUUGUAUAUAUUUUUUUAUUUCAAAUCGGAUAAUCUAACCAAAUCUCUAAUUGUAUAUUUUUUUUAUUUCAAAUCAAUAAUAAUAAGAUGAAUGAGACUUCAAUUACUAUGUUAUAUUUGCAAAACCAUUCAUUUCUCUCCAAACUCUAUUCUUAUUAACUCUUUCUUUUGUUAAAAUUAUUUUGAUCGUGACUAUUUGUGGUUAAUUUUUUUAGUGUAAAGUUCGGCUGUAGUCCUCGUGAUUCAUGUGCAUCCUUUUGCUUUAAAAGUUCUUUAACACAUUAAGUAUUUUUCUCCAUCUUGUCAAUCUAGAUAAAUAGUAGCACAGGAAGAAUCUCUGGAAAAAGUAAAUGUGUGGAAAGAUUUAAUAAAAGAAACUAAGAGUGUAGCAUUAAUACACACGGUUUCAUUUAAUUAGGAAAAAAGAAAGUGUGGAAAUAUUUAAAAGCAAUCGAGAGUGUAAUUAAGCAUACAAGUAUGACACUAGUUUUUAUUAAAAAUAUAAUAAAGAUAUUUAGAAGCUAUAGAUGAGAAAACAGUGGUAAAUGCAUUGAAUUAGCACACAUAAUUCCAACUAGUCGGGUAUUCUAGUUUGCAUUGGGAUGAGCAUAUAGCAGGCUUUCUUGUGUAAAGACGACUUAAAGAAUAUUUUUUUUAUCAAUGUUGUAGUUGUGAAAGGAUAUUCUCACGAUAUUUUAGCAAACAACUUUUUAUGAUCUUAUCACCCCCACUUUUGAUUCAUUUUGCUUAUUAUUGUUUAUAAAGGUGUAGACAUUAAAACACUCAAAUUCCAACUAUAUGUCAAUCACUUUUUACGUAACCUUCAAGGAAAUUUUGUGAAACGGCUAGAAUCUAACAUUCAUGAAAUUUCAAGUAUCCCAAUGAAUUUGACUUUGGAAUACUUCAAGUAUUACUUGUUGAUGUGUUAAUUUAUACAACACAAAUAGAUUAUAUAACUUGAAUUAAUUGGACAUCAGAAUGCAUGAGUUUUUAUUUUUUUUACAGUAAAAAACAGAUGUUAUGUAGCAAAAAUGAUACAACAUCAGGUCAAAACAAGGACAAAACCAAACGAAAUAAAAAGAUAAAACAAGAACAUCAACUAUAGAGAUUAAUUAUAGAAAAAAAAGAUAGCACACAAAGGAGACAAGAAGAAGAAGCAAUGAUGGUGAAGAAAAUUACAAAAAUUCCAAAGAGGGGAAAAGACAAAGAGAAGAGACAUUCAAAGCAAAACCAAUCAACCAAUUAAGUGAAGUGAAUGAUGAAAAAAAAAAGGACAUCCAACUGUUCUAUCUACUUGUUUAUUUUAACUUUAUAUAAAAGAUGAAUGGAUAUGUUAAAAAGAAAAAUAAAAACUAAAAUUCUAGAGUCAAGAAACAAAUUAAGGAUAGAUUUGAUUUCGAUAGAUCUUAUACAUAACUGAAUUUAAGAAAGUUAUUAGUAGAUUUUGGUAUAAGAACUAAUCUUUUUAAGCUAACUCACUUGAGCUUCAAAAAAAUAGUGGUCUAUCUCUAAGUCUAUUUCUAACGUUUGGUUGGAGUCAAUAAAAGUCAUGGGAAAAAGGUAUUCACUGAAAAAGCUGUAAAGACACAUCUACAUUGCUGUAAGCCAUGGUAAAUUCAGAGGCCUCUUUAAGGCAUAAUAAAUCCAAAGGAUUCUCUAAAUCAUAAUAAAUUUUUAAGGGGUCAUUUGGUUCGAAGCUUUUCUGCAUUGGAAUGAGUACAAACAUUUAAAACUCACGUUUGUUUCACAAUUUUCAAACUUUCGUUGAGAUUAAUUGAUUUUAGGUAUACUUAUUUUUUUCAAACAAUGGUUUUUUAUUCUCUUCCAAAAUUAGGUUUUCUCUUUUCCCUCCAUCUAUUUUAUAUAUAUAUAUAUAUAUAUAAUUUCAUUUGAAAUACAAUUAACUAAUUAAUACUGACUUCAAAAUUUAAUAUAAAGUAUUUACCUAAAUUAGAAAUAAAAAAUUGACAAAUGAAUACAAUUAAUUUUUUAGAAAAAUUAUUAAUUAAUUAACUAACAAUGUAUUAAAUAUAUUUAAUUGAUAAAUUAAGAUUAAAUAAAUUUAGUUAGUAGAAAAUUUUAUUUUUCAAUAAUAAUAAUUGAUGUAUUUUUUAAUAACAAGCAAUUGCUUUUUAAGAUCAGUUUUAAUUUAUAUUACUCCAUUCAUUAAAAACAUGUAAUAUUUAUAAAACCUAUUUUAGUACUUUUUAUUGAUAUAUCAUAACUCCUAUCUAAAUUUUUUUCAUCUUUUAUAUUAUAUUGUAUUAAAAUAUAUUUUCUUAUAGUGUUUAAUUAAAAUUGAUAUUACUAACGAUAAACUUAGUUAAUUAUAAACAUGGUUAAAUAUUAGAUUAUAAUUAAUACUACGUUCUUUAAAUAUAGGUUAUUUUAAUUAUCAGUUCUUUUAAAAAAAAUUAAUUAUCAAUUACUCAAUUUUCAAUACUUAAAAUUAUUAUUGAUUCCCAAUUAAUUAGUUUUAUAUUAACUUUGUAUAAGACUUUUAUUUUUCUUAAUUUCAUAAAUUAAAUUUAAACAUAUUUUUUUGUAAAACAAAAUUCUGAUAGCAUUUCUUUGCACAACCAAACUCACCAAACUCUGUCAUCUUUCAUUCUCAUAUAUCUCAUCUUUUAUUCUCAAACAUCUACAAACUUAAACAAAAACCAUCCUUAAAGAUCUUCAUAAUAAAUAUUUUUCAAAGUUUUCUUCAAUCAGAUGAGAGUGAAUGAACAAAACACUACAGAUUAAUUAUAUAUAUGAAAUGAUGUUCAUUAUGAAUUUAGUGGGAAGGAUAUGGUGGAAUAAGAAUUAUGUUACUUCCAAAAGCUUGUUGUAUACCUUUGGGAGAACAAAAAUUUCAAAGUUUGCUAAUAAUAUAAUUGAUUUUUUUUUUCAUAUAUUCAAAUGUAAUAGAAAGUUAUUUUGAUAAAACACUUAAUAUUGAUAAAAUUUCUCUAUCACUUUUGAUUACCAUCAAUAAUUAACAAUAAUGUUACAAGGGUGGCUAGUACCCUCAACUACAACAAAUAUUGUUGAACAAAGCAGAUCUAGGCAUCACAGCUAGCUCAACUAAUUUGGACAUAUAGAUCAUUAACGAAAGAGGUCGAUGUUUUUUAAUUAGGCUCACAACUCGAACUAUGUUGAACUCAAAUAUAUAACCAAAUUUAAGUUGGUGUUUGUCUCUCGAGAACAUCUCUAGCAUGCGGUGGAACAUGUUGUUGAGGAUCCCAACAAUGAAAAUACAAAGUGAUCAACCUCACAACCUUUUUUUUUUUCUUUUUUAGCCAAUUUGUUUUGUGAUAGAUGGAAUUUUUAUGCUUUUCUAAUAUGAUAUUAGAGCCCAUGAACCUCGUAUGAAUAUUUGGUCUAAAGUUGAGAUCUGUCCAAAAAAUGAUGAAUCCAAAAAUAGUCACUAUCUUGAACGAAAUGAAUAACGAUGCCUUUUUAUGGGAUAUACAUGUUUUGGGGUGAUUAAUAUGGAUAUAGCCUCCAUUUGGAGGUCCAAAUGAAAAAUAAACCAAUUUUUAAGAGUGAAUGAAAAGUGGGUUUUUUGCUAGUAAAUUUACUAAUUCGUUCGUGAAAACCAUUUGCAUGGUUGCAAUUGAAGAAACACUAAUCGAUGCAUGCACAAUGAAUAGUACUCAAUACUCGAUGCUUGAUACUCAAUGCUCUAUGUUUUAUAUUUUAUGAUCUAUGUUAUAUACUAGAUGUUAGAAAAUACUCAAUCAUCUUUCAUAUCGUUCCUUGAUACAAAAUACUUGCUACUAAAUACUUGAUGUUCUAUGGUUUUUUUAUGUUAUAUGUGUUACACUUGAUACUCAAUACUUAAAGACACGACAAAAAGGCUAGAAAUACAAAAAAAAAAAAAAAAAAAAAAAAAAGCAUAAAAAUGGAAAAAGAAAUGCAAAGAAAAAACACUGAAAAAAUUGACGAUGAAGAACGAGAAGAAUAAAAAAGGACAAAGACGACACAAAGAAAAAAAAAAAGAAAGAAAAAAAGUUGCAAAAUGAAGAAAAAAACAUUUAAAGUUAGUGGUAAUUUUAGUGAUGAUAUAAAGAAAAUGCCACUUUUGGUUGAUUUAAAAAAAUACUGAUUUUUUUAUUUGGACCUUUUAUUUUAUGUUACCUAUCCAAAUUUCUCCCUUUAUCUGUAGUUGAUCAACUCUACUAUGAUACAACCAUUCUCAUUCCAUUCUAAAAUAAUUAGAACUAAAUUAGUCUAAGAAAAAAAAUUCGAUAAAAAUAUUUCGUCUCAAACAAUUGAGAUUAAAUUGUUACAAAAUUUAACUAAAAGUUGGACAACAAAUUUUUUAUUAAUAAUCUAACAAAAACUCAACAAACUUAAGGAUGAUAGAUCCAUCUUCAAUGCACCGAGACAAAGAGCAUGGAAGCUAAAUGACAAUACAAAAGCUUAACUUUUCAUAAAAAAAAGAAACUACACUCAUAACAGAAGGAAAGACAAACUUUAACAAUUUUCCUGAAUUCAUAUAUAAUACAGUAGCUGAGAGUAUUAUUUUGGUGAAGGAACAUAGAUCAUCUAUUGCCGGGCGGUGGAGGGGGUCGACUAGGUUGCUCGACCACUGUCGUCGUCACCAUCAUUGGUUCUCUGGUUAAUGAUCUUAUGAUUCUAGUGAUUAAAAAGGAUACUGAGAAGGCUAAUUACCCAUAAAUUUGAUUCAGUAUUUGACCCCUUUUAGUUGAAUAAUUUCUUGGUGGCUCUUCAACUGCCAUUUUCUUUCAACAAGAAUUAAUAAAGGAAAAAAGAAAAAACAGAUAAUAAUAACGUGUGAAGCAAAAAAGGAGGUUGUUAAUUUUGAACUGUGGAUGGGAAGUUUCUCAUUUUGAUUUUUGGUGGAAUGAAAUGUCUGAAGUGAUAUAGGGUUAUGGAACAAAAUCAACUAAUAAAAUAUAUAAAAAACGUAAACUAAAAGAGAAUCAUAUUGACACACUGUUUCAUGUGAUUCACUAAAAAUGUAUUAUCUACGUCUACACGACAGAAAAUAAAUAAUGUAGCUAAUUGAUUGGUGCAAAUAUAUUAGUUAAGAAGUUUAACGGUUUAUUUGACAUGCUAGUACGAAAUUGUAACAAAAGGACCUUUAUAUGAUUUUAUAAACGAAGCUUUUACUCUAGAUAAGGUUGGUCAACACUAUAUACCGAUGUGUGCUCGAUGAUCUUCUUUUGCAGGUCACUCUCAAAUACACUAAUUUAUAUUGUUUUUUGCCACGUAAAAAUUAUGGUUCUCCAAAAUUUGACAUUCAACAAAACCAUUCUCUAUCUUUUGUAAAUGGUGUUCCCACUGGCUUUUGUACUGAAUUGCAUGGUGUAGAGACUUCACCUUUUAACUCUUUGGACAAAAAUAGUUAAUAUAUAAUAAUGUUUCAUUUUGUGGUUCUAAUUAACUCUGUCGCAUGCCAUCUCCUCUUUGCUUUGUCUCUUACAACUUGUGAUGGCAGUCGUCCUUGUAGUAAAGCAGGAAUCUAUGUGUAAGAAAGCCUUACAUUAAACAACACAUCUACUCAACAAUCUUAAUUUUGUUCUCUUCUAGUUUCAAAAAUUUAAAUCAACAUUGGUUUUUAUGUUGGAAUGUCCAUAAAAUGUGUCCCUAACUAGGUGUCUCUAUCACAUUUCAUUUACAUUUCCUAUUUAAUUUGAAUUGUAUAUUAAAAAUGAUGGGUUUACAACUUUGAUUUUGUUAAAAAAGAAAAAGUAAAUUAAACUAGAAACAAAAAGCAGUGGAAAGCACCUUCAAUAGAAGUAGCAAAUUACUUCUUGAAAGAACCUUUGAAAUAUGCAACAUGGAGAAUGGACGACGAGGACUGUGAAGUGUCCUCUCUCCACCUAUAUUGGAAACCAUAAUCACACAUAUCCUCCCAAAAAGCAUAUAUAAUUCAAAAGUGUGCUCAACAAUAGGUGCACACAAAUACUUUAUUUUCCAAAACAAUAUAUGAUAGAGAAGUUGUAAGAAAAACAAUAACCAUUAGAAUUUAUAUAUCUUUUGAAAACUUUUGGAUACGAGAGUGAUCGAUAGGGCGCACAUACAAAUACCUCAACUAAUUAAAUUGAUACAUCAAAUGCUAAAAAGAACAUAUAAUAAAGUCAUCACAAGAUGAUAAUGAGAUACAUGCAUACAAAACAAGUAAAAAGAGUGUCAGAAGAGAUAAGGGCUAUAAUAGUGAUAAAGUGAUAUUUUAUUUCUACACGCCAACUAGAUUUUUCCUAGAUUUUCAAUAGGGAGUUGUGACAUUUGUUCAUAUGAUUUUAUCAAAAACCAAAAAUAGUAUAGAAUUAUUAUCAAGGGGCUUAAUCAAGAUAUUCUUUUUGUUUUUGAAAUUUUUUUAAGAAUUUAAAUGCUUACUUUAGAAAAUAUGAAGAAAAAAACACAAUUUAAUAACAACAUAAUAAACAAUUAAUUUCUAUAAAAUAAUUUUAUAUAUCUUAUACUUUAUGCUUUAGCAUACAUACGUGUGUCCCAAAAAUGGAGUAUUAUGUUUCUUAACCUUUCCAAAUCAAGAAAAUAAUCAUUCAAUAUACUGUAAAACAAUCAUAUCCAAAUCAAAUUAGUCGAAACAAAUAAAUAGAUAAUUUUAGAACAAUACUCUAAGAAAUUUUCAAAAAUUCUAUUUAUCAUCCAUUCACGAAUCAUUUCCAUAGAAAACUUUUCAAAAUAGCAACUAAAAUGACAGCACAUAUUAGUCAUUACAUACUAUAUAUUAUCAGCCGACCUUGAGUUAAAGGUGAGCGCAUAAAAUUCAGCAAUAACUCACAUGCACUCUACCUCUUUAUUUGCUUAUCAUUCAUAUAUAAGGAAAAGUUACACUCUGUUAUAAUAGAAAGGUAGAUUAGCCCAACGCGGCGGUGGAGGGGGUUGAUUAGGUUGCUUGGCCGCCUCGGCCACGCCGGUACCUUGAUCUUCUCUGAUCUCAACCCUAAAAUGGACAAAAUUGGUUUUGUUAUGUUCUUCACAAUGCUUCCUAUGAUUUUGCCCCUAUGAAGAAAUAGUGAGUAAGUUUAUAGUGAAAAAAAAGGUGAAAGUGGUACUCUUGUGUGGGUGCACAUGUACAUGCAUAUACAUACAUAUAUUAUGAAAAAAAUACCUUUUUAAUUAUUACGUUUUGAAAAAUGGAAUAUAUAUAUUUGAUCCUUUAAUUAAAAAACAAAUGUACUCACAUUUAUUAAAAAAAAGUUUAGUACGUACAUUUUCAGUAAUUGAGUUUUUAAAAAUAGAUUUAAAAGAUUGUUUAAGAAUAUAAUUUUUAAAAAAUUCUCUUUAAAAUGUUCAUAUAAUUAUCAAAAGUUAUUAUUUAAAAGAUUUUUAAACUAACUACCCAAAACUAAAAUGUUAUUUUAAAAAAAGAAAUCUAAAAGUAAUUUAGUAUAUUCUUGUAAACAUAUAUCCUAAGUUUACAAACCAAAUAUAAUUAUAUUCUUCAAAAUUUUAAGACCAGAGGGGUAACUCUUUUCUUAACUUAGCAUCACGUUUCUCUCUACAUUUGUCACUUUCUUUGUAACCCGACAUGACCCUAUGGGUCACUGACUCAUUCUCCCACCAUUUUCUUUUAACUUUUACAUUUUCUGGAUGGAAAAGAUAAGAUGCUAUUUCAAACAAACUUGUACUUCCUUCUUUAAGAUAUGUAUUUGAGAUCAUAAUUUAUAAAUUCAAUUCUAAAUUAAAAUGCUGUAAACUAGUUGUAUACUCACUCGUUAAAAUUUAGUUGAUAAUAAAUUAUUUUAUUAAUUUUUUAUGAACAUGUUUUAUGUUUAAAAAUGGUAGAAUUAUUCUUAUGUAGUAUUAUAUAAUUUAUGGAAAACGUUAAAAUUUUGGUCCAUUCUGGUUUGGAAAACCUAAAAAUUUAGGUCUUAUUGGUUUAUAAUAAGAAUUUAAAAGGAUUCUAAGUUUAACCCUUUUUUUUUCUAAAAAAUUGAAUUGAGUUUAUAAUAAAAAUCAAAAUUUUACACUAUACCACAGAAUCUAAAAUGCAAAAGUAGAUUUCAAAAAUAUAAUUAGAAUUUUCUGUCAACAUAACAUACCCUAAAAUUUCAACAAAUUUUAGAAGACCUAGUUUAGUAUUUGGAGAAAAAAAUUUGCAUGAGGAUGAUAAUGUUAAUGUUUAAUUUAAAAUCUUAAAAGUUACAUUGUGUGUUUCCUAGAUAAAAUAAUAAAAACGAAAAGAUUUGACUAGGUGCUAAAAUGUUGAAUAAAUUAAGCUUUUUAGGAAAUUAAGUUUUUUAAACCUUAAUUAAUGAAUAGUGUUUGAAACUAUUUGAGAGAGUUUUUUAAAAAAUAUAGACAAAAUUUGUACAUUUUUCGCAGCAAUUUCGAACCCGAAAAAAACUUAUACUUUAUAUAAUUAUCAUUUUAUAAUCAUAACACAUAAAAUAUAAUUAUCAUUUUAUAAUCGUAACACAUAAAAUACAAUUGAUACAUAAUAAUCUAUGUGAUCAUCAUUAUGGCUUUUCCACCAAUGAUCACUUUAUAAAUAGUUGCACAUAGUUUUAAAAUUUAAGAAUAAUAGAUUUAAACCAACCCCAAUCAAUUUUGUGUGGAUUUUUCGAUAUAAAAAACAAUAGUAAAUUAAUAAAUAAAAACGAGCAUACCAUUAGACUUAACACAUGAAAAAUAAACUAAAGAAAACUUAAUCAAACUUGAGUUUUUGAAGAUUUCUUAAAUACAUUUCGAUUUAUUUAUUUAUUUAUUUUUUAAUCUUUUCCCAUCUUACAGAGUUCUUCAUAUAUUAAAGAAAAAUCAAACAAAAUUAUUUUUAGUGGAAACAUGAAUUUAAUUAUACCUUACACAUCAAUAAAAAAAAAUCAUAAGUUUUCGAUCAAAACUUUGAUUACACAUGUAAUUUGUAUUUUCAUGGUUACACAAUAAAACUAUAACAUUGUAUAAAACAAUAAAUGUCAAAAAUAUUUGAACUAGAUGAUUUUCAUAAAUUAAACUUAGUUAAAGAAACACAUAUCUUGAUUCAUGAAGGGUCCUUCACUUGACUUUCUUUAGAAUUGGUAAUUAGUUUUCUUGAUGGGUAAGAAUGAACUACUUUAAUGAGAGGAUCAAUCCCUAAAGUUUUAUUUAUAGACACCACGUAUUAUAGUGUUUAACAAGGACAUUAUUUUUGUAUUUAAUGGGUCUAAUAAAAUGUCACAUUAAUAAUACUAUUAUAUUUAAAAUAAAUUUAACAUUCUCGACUUAUCCAAAAAAUUCACUUGAAAGGUGGAGAUUCCCCCACCACCGUUUUUUCUAUAUAAAAAAAAAAAAAUCAGAUUUCUCAAAUUUUAAUGGGACGGGGGCGAGGAGUCCCAAAACGAGGACCCUAAAAAAGUCCCUGGUUUGACCCCAUUCCGGGUCAAACUUGGGAUUUUACGACUCUACCGAGAAUUUUGCCAACCCUAAUCUUUGUAAUUUUAAAAUAAUAAUCAUUUAGUUCCUAAACCUAAUAGAUGUAGCAAUUUAGUUCAGGUAAUAUAUAAUUGUAAAGCUGUAAUCUACAUGGUUGAAAACACUAUUAUGAUUUAUUGAAAUUUCUUAUCCAUGAACAUUUGAUAUAAAACGAUGGAAGAACCAAAAUUUAUAUAUAUAAAUUUUAUCAUAGAAACUAUAAAAUUAGUACAAAUCUUAGAGGAUAUGGACUCAAAUUAAAUUAUAGCUUUCUAAAGUUCUAAAAAUUAAACGAUUAGAAAAUUAGUAAAAGCUAAAAGGUAUUUUUAGCAUAAAUAAGUAAAUAAAUAAAAAGUUGAUCACUCUAUUUCUUGAAUUGUCACUUUCUUCCUCUCUCAUAUGGGAAGUGUCUUUGGAUUACUUACAUAGAACAGCUUAUCCUUUAGUAUUUUCUUUCUUAAAAAGGGUAAAAAAAAUAAAAAGAUUAUCAUAAAAAGCAUAAAGAAAAAAUAUAUGCUUUUACAAGAAAUACAUGCAUCAUUAGAUGGUUUGAAUAUAUAUAUAUAGAGAGAGAGAGAAUAAGACAAAGUUGGAAAAUUACAAAAGAAAAAAAAAGUACCAACUUUAUUUAAAUGCCCAAAAAUUGAGGAUAUGAGAUAACCAAUCCUCAAUUUCACCUAAAAGAAAAUUUGAGGUACUAACCCUAAGUACAAAAGAUUGGGAAUUAGAUUCCAUUUCUAAGUUAUUGAAACCCCUAACUAUCAAUAUCAGCAACCAAUUUUAAACCAUAUAGAGAAGAGCAAGAGGUUUAGAAAAGAACACACUAUCUCUAGCUAUCUCAAUUAUCUUUGGAAAAAACAAAGUCAACAUCUAUUUAUUUCUAGUUUUCAUUUUUAAAAAGGUGUGAUAAAAAAUGCAUAUUUAUUGAUUUAACAUCUCAAGUAAAAAUUAAAAACACUAAUGUGUAAAAAAACGAUCACAUAUGGCCAAUCUAAAUUUGGUGAAAGAUAAAGAUGAGAAAGAAAAGGCAAAGGACAAAGUUUUGGAUUAAUUGUCUUCAAAAUCCUAAUCCCUCCAAAAUUAGAAUUAAAGAAAAAAGUUAAUAUUACACACACAUCUAUUAUGUAAAAAAAUAUAUGUCACCUAUACGCACUUUUAUAAAGUGUCGAAUACAAAUUUCUCUAUUCUAAUUUAUAUUUAAAAAAGUAGUGUAAAAAAUAUUUGUGUAACAUCACUACUUUUCCAUACUUAUUUCAUCACAUAUAAAUCUAAAAGUGUAUUCAAAUAUCAAAAGCAAAAAAAAUUACACUCAUCCCAUUCAAACACAAGUAUGUAUGAUAGUGACACACACAACUCUAAAAAAGCAUUUAAACAACAAAAUUUGUCAAACAAAUAUAUGUGUGUAGUGUGUGUAAUUUAAAAAACUUGUUUUCAUUGGUUCACUAUUAUUAUUGUUGUUGUUACCAUUGAAAGGGGUUCCAUAAUUUGAAUCACACUAAGCUUUUGCCAAAUUGUCCAUGAGCUUUAAGAACAUCCAUAUAAUAGAGGUAGAAAUUAAACAAAAAUAAAUUAAAAUAAAGCACACUUUUUAAUUUACAUAUAUAUACAAUAAUAAUUACAUCAUACUAGGAAAUUUUGAUCAUUGAACCAACAAGAAAUUGAGUUCAAAAUUACAGGAAAAAAAAGAAAGAAAGAAAGGAAAAUGAUAACAAUUAAUUUACAGUAGGUAAUAAGGGGAUAAAUUGUUGGCCAACGAAACAAAAUAAAGUAGCUGUUUAAUUUAUUUCACAAAGCAGUGAGGAUUGAGGAAGGGCUAUGCACCGGCACCGGCACCGGCACCGCCGCCACCACCGGCAGGGGGCGGAGGGGGCGGUGGAGCAUGAACCGGCGGAGGAGGAUCCGGGAUGAGUCCAGCAAGUGCGGCGACCACGUAGGACGCUGCAGUGGCUGCUGAUGUGGCCAAAUCCUCACCAAUUUUGGCCAUAAUUCUGCCUCUCCUUGGUGGGUUAUUUGCAGUUGAAGAGGGCAUAUUUCUUCAAACACAAUCCCACAAUAAUAAGUGUGUAAAUCAAGAGAGAGAGAGAGAGUGAAUUUGUAAGUUCUAAGUUCUCUUUUAUAAUAUCAAAUGUGAUAUUUAGAAAUGUUUUUUUUUCUUUUUUUAUAAAGAAGUUAUGUGUCUUUAUCAAAUCUAUUUUAAAAUCUAAAGCAAUAUUAUAUAGAGAGAAAAAUAUCGAAUUUUCCUCUAGAAGUCGGUGUGUGUCAGUGAACUUUUGAAUCUGCAUUUAAUUAUUU